GGCAGUGUGUUGCAAUGGUAAUGAUUAGGGCUCGUAACCGAAAGGUUGCUGGUUCAAUUCCCUGCUUAGCACUGCCG